GAUGAACGCUGGCGGCGUGCCUAAUACAUGCAAGUCGAGCGAACGGACGAGAAGCUUGCUUCUCUGAUGUUAGCGGCGGACGGGUGAGUAACACGUGGAUAACCUACCUAUAAGACUGGGAUAACUUCGGGAAACCGGAGCUAAUACCGGAUAAUAUUUUGAACCGCAUGGUUCAAAAGUGAAAGACGGUCUUGCUGUCACUUAUAGAUGGAUCCGCGCUGCAUUAGCUAGUUGGUAAGGUAACGGCUUACCAAGGCAACGAUGCAUAGCCGACCUGAGAGGGUGAUCGGCCACACUGGAACUGAGACACGGUCCAGACUCCUACGGGAGGCAGCAGUAGGGAAUCUUCCGCAAUGGGCGAAAGCCUGACGGAGCAACGCCGCGUGAGUGAUGAAGGUCUUCGGAUCGUAAAACUCUGUUAUUAGGGAAGAACAUAUGUGUAAGUAACUGUGCACAUCUUGACGGUACCUAAUCAGAAAGCCACGGCUAACUACGUGCCAGCAGCCGCGGUAAUACGUAGGUGGCAAGCGUUAUCCGGAAUUAUUGGGCGUAAAGCGCGCGUAGGCGGUUUUUUUAAGUCUGAUGUGAAAGCCCACGGCUCAACCGUGGAGGGCCAUUGGAAACUGGAAAACUUGAGUGCAGAAGAGGAAAGUGGAAUUCCAUGUGUAGCGGUGAAAUGCGUAGAGAUAUGGAGGAACACCAGUGGCGAAGGCGACUUUCUGGUCUGUAACUGACGCUGAUGUGCGAAAGCGUGGGGAUCAAACAGGAUUAGAUACCCUGGUAGUCCACGCCGUAAACGAUGAGUGCUAAGUGUUAGGGGGUUUCCGCCCCUUAGUGCUGCAGCUAACGCAUUAAGCACUCCGCCUGGGGAGUACGACCGCAAGGUUGAAACUCAAAGGAAUUGACGGGGACCCGCACAAGCGGUGGAGCAUGUGGUUUAAUUCGAAGCAACGCGAAGAACCUUACCAAAUCUUGACAUCCUUUGACAACUCUAGAGAUAGAGCUUUCCCCUUCGGGGGACAAAGUGACAGGUGGUGCAUGGUUGUCGUCAGCUCGUGUCGUGAGAUGUUGGGUUAAGUCCCGCAACGAGCGCAACCCUUAAGCUUAGUUGCCAUCAUUAAGUUGGGCACUCUAAGUUGACUGCCGGUGACAAACCGGAGGAAGGUGGGGAUGACGUCAAAUCAUCAUGCCCCUUAUGAUUUGGGCUACACACGUGCUACAAUGGACAAUACAAAGGGCAGCGAAACCGCAAGGUCAAGCAAAUCCCAUAAAGUCGUUCUCAGUUCGGAUUGUAGUCUGCAACUCGACUACAUGAAGCUGGAAUCGCUAGUAAUCGUAGAUCAGCAUGCUACGGUGAAUACGUUCCCGGGUCU
rnacentral:rRNA from 1 species